rnacentral:rRNA from 1 species
GGGGCCUACGGGAGGCAGCAGUGAGGAAUAUUGGGCAAUGGAGGCAACUCUGACCCAGCUAUGCCGCGUGCAGGAAGACGGCCCUCUGGGUUGUAAACUGCUUUUGUUUGGGAAUAAACCCUCCUACGUGUAGGAGGCUGAAGGUACCUUACGAAUAAGCAUCGGCUAACUCCGUGCCAGCAGCCGCGGUAAUACGGAGGAUGCAAGCGUUAUCCGGAUUUAUUGGGUUUAAAGGGUCCGUAGGCGGAUCUUUAAGUCAGUGGUGAAAGCCCACAGCUCAACUGUGGAACUGCCAUUGAUACUGGAGAUCUUGAGUGUAGUAGAAGUAGGCGGAAUAGGGCAUGUAGCGGUGAAAUGCAUAGAUAUGCCCUAGAACACCGAUUGCGAAGGCAGCUUACUAUGUUACAACUGACGCUGAGGGACGAAAGCGUGGGGAGCAAACAGGAUUAGAUACCCUGGUAGUCCACGCUGUAAACGAUGAUUACUCGCUGUUGGCGACAUACAGUCAGCGGCCAAGCGAAAGCAUUAAGUAAUCCACCUGGGGAGUACGCCGGCAACGGUGAAACUCAAAGGAAUUGACGGGG